rnacentral:rRNA from 1 species
AUAUUGGACAAUGGGCGCAAGCCUGAUCCAGCCAUGCCGCGUGAGUGAAGAAGGCCUUCUGGGUUGUAAACUGCUUUUAUCAGGGAAGAAAACGCUCCUGCGGGAGUAACUGACGGUACCUGAUGAAUAAGCACCGGCUAACUCCGUGCCAGCAGCCGCGGUAAUACGGAGGGUGCAAGCGUUGUCCGGAUUUAUUGGGUUUAAAGGGUGCGUAGGCGGCCCGUUAAGUCAGUGGUGAAAGCCAACAGCUCAACUGUUGAACUGCCAUUGAUACUGACGGGCUUGAGUACAGACGAGGUAGGCGGAAUUGAAGAUGUAGCGGUGAAAUGCAUAGAUAUCUUCAAGAACACCGAUUGCGUAGGCAGCUUACUAGGCUGUAACUGACGCUGAGGCACGAAAGCGUGGGGAGCGAACAGG